ensembl:rRNA 5S_rRNA 5S ribosomal RNA
GGCCACAGCCAUAUCACCCUGCAGCCCAAGACUGGUUGCCCACUGAAGCUAAGCAGGGUUGAGCCUGGUCAGUACCUGGAUGGGAGACCUCCUGGGAAAACUAGGUUGCUGUUGGAA